GUCAUCAUACACAUCACUGUACAGAAGAAAUCUGUCUGGAGGAAAUACAGCGUUUGCUGACCAGAUGAAUCACUAGAGAAGAAGGUGUAAUGCGCAGGAAGGUGUGGUGAGCCAUAUCCAGGUCUCAAAGUGGUGGGCCUCUACUGGGAGUCAGGAAGAGUGAGGCACACAUGGCCCAGAUGGGAGUGAGACCUGCCAUUGCAGCCUUCUGGACUCCCAGCCAUGUGGAAUUGUCAGAAAAGCGUUGCAGCAUGUUCAUCACAGGACACUUCAUCGUUGCAGCAUGUUUGGAGGAGAAUGCUUCAUUGUUUAAUGUGCGUUUAUAUGCUGGUCUCUCUUUGCAUCUCUCAUCCAUCCCUCUGCCUCCCUUCUCCUCUGAUGUUUGGCCUGUGCUUACACCCUCCGUCCCCUCUGUGUGAUGUCUGGCUUCCCUGCACCAACAUUUGGAGUUCAUUAGAUCACAGUUAUGCUCUGUACCCACCCGUGAGAAUAAGGACACACACGCACAUGCCCAAAAUAUGCUUACAGGAUAUGUAGUAUGCAUGUUAAAUCUAAACCCAUUGCUGAAACCUAAAUUUGCUUAUGGA